GAUGUGUAUAAGGUACAGGCCAGGAUGUUGGCUUAGAAGCAGCCAUCAUUUAAAGAAAGCGUAAUAGCUCACUGGUCGAGUCGGCCUGCGCGGAAGAUGUAACGGGGCUAAACCAUGCACCGAAGCUGCGGCAGCGAACGUAUCACCCAAGACAACUUUACGGAGUUGACGAUUGACGGAGCGAAGCGACGUCAAAGCGUUCAUUAAAGUCGAGUUGGCUUAGGGAUACGUUCGUUGGGUAGGGGAGCGUUCUGUAAGCCUGUGAAGGUGUGUCGUGAGGCAUGCUGGAGGUAUCAGAAGUGCGAAUGCUGACAUAAGUAACGAUAAAGCGGGUGAAAAGCCCGCUCGCCGGAAGACCAAGGGUUCCUGUCCAACGUUAAUCGGGGCAGGGUGAGUCGACCCCUAAGGCGAGGCCGAAAGGCGUAGUCGAUGGGAAACGGGUUAAUAUUCCCGUACUUGGUGUUACUGCGAAGGGGGGACGGAGAAGGCUAUGUUGGCCGGGCGACGGUUGUCCCGGUUUAAGCGUGUAGGUGUGUGUUCCAGGUAAAUCCGGUUCACUUUAACACUGAGGCGUGACGACGAGGCACUACGGUGCUGAAGCAACAAAUGCCCUGCUUCCAGGAAAAGCCUCUAAGCAUCAGGUAACACGAAAUCGUACCCCAAACCGACACAGGUGGUCAGGUAGAGAAUACCAAGGCGCUUGAGAGAACUCGGGUGAAGGAACUAGGCAAAAUGGUGCCGUAACUUCGGGAGAAGGCACGCUGACACGUAGGUGAAGUGAUUUACUCAUGGAGCUGAAGUCAGUCGAAGAUACCAGCUGGCUGCAACUGUUUAUUAAAAACACAGCACUGUGCAAACACGAAAGUGGACGUAUACGGUGUGACGCCUGCCCGGUGCCGGAAGGUUAAUUGAUGGGGUCAGCGCAAGCGAAGCUCCUGAUCGAAGCCCCGGUAAACGGCGGCCGUAACUAUAACGGUCCUAAGGUAGCGAAAUUCCUUGUCGGGUAAGUUCCGACCUGCACGAAUGGCGUAAUGAUGGCCAGGCUGUCUCCACCCGAGACUCAGUGAAAUUGAACUCGCUGUGAAGAUGCAGUGUACCCGCGGCAAGACGGAAAGACCCCGUGAACCUUUACUAUAGCUUGACACUGAACAUUGAGCCUUGAUGUGUAGGAUAGGUGGGAGGCUUUGAAGUGUGGACGCCAGUCUGCAUGGAGCCGACCUUGAAAUACCACCCUUUAAUGUUUGAUGUUCUAACGUGGACCCGUAAUCCGGGUUGCGGACAGUGUCUGGUGGGUAGUUUGACUGGGGCGGUCUCCUCCUAAAGAGUAACGGAGGAGCACGAAGGUUGGCUAAUCCUGGUCGGACAUCAGGAGGUUAGUGCAAUGGCAUAAGCCAGCUUGACUGCGAGCGUGACGGCGCGAGCAGGUGCGAAAGCAGGUCAUAGUGAUCCGGUGGUUCUGAAUGGAAGGGCCAUCGCUCAACGGAUAAAAGGUACUCCGGGGAUAACAGGCUGAUACCGCCCAAGAGUUCAUAUCGACGGCGGUGUUUGGCACCUCGAUGUCGGCUCAUCACAUCCUGGGGCUGAAGUAGGUCCCAAGGGUAUGGCUGUUCGCCAUUUAAAGUGGUACGCGAGCUGGGUUUAGAACGUCGUGAGACAGUUCGGUCCCUAUCUGCCGUGGGCGCUGGAGAACUGAGGGGGGCUGCUCCUAGUACGAGAGGACCGGAGUGGACGCAUCACUGGUGUUCGGGUUGUCAUGCCAAUGGCACUGCCCGGUAGCUAAAUGCGGAAGAGAUAAGUGCUGAAAGCAUCUAAGCACGAAACUUGCCCCGAGAUGAGUUCUCCCUGAGACUUAGAGUCUCCUGAAGGAACGUUGAAGACGACGACGUUGAUAGGCCGGGUGUGUAAGCGCAGCGAUGCGUUGAGCUAACCGGUACUAAUGAACCGUG
rnacentral:rRNA from 1 species